CCUCAAAGCGGGCCGAGCAUCCGGGCUCGGGAAGGCGGCCAAAACGGGCCAAACAUGGGCUGCCAUACCCAUUUUCUGGGUUGCUGAUCGGGGCCGAGAGGGAGCAGAUCCGGCGCCGGUUCGGGCGGCCAAGGGCGGCGGAGGCAAGGCGAAGCUCCGACAGGCUAAGGCGGGGGCGCACGGCGGCUCACGGUGGCUGAUUCGUGACCUAGGCUGGUCGGACAGCCUCCCAAACGUGAAGACGAGCGAGGACGACGGCGAACGUGGGAAGAGCAGCGGCGCGACGGCAGCGAGCGGCGAGCUCCGGUGACGGGUGACGAGCGGCGAAGGAGGCGGACGGCGAGGGGCUGCUUCGGCUUCUUCCUCUGCAAUUUUUCUGGUCUUCGCACACCAACCAUGGAGGAAUCGCACGGGAGAGGAAGAAGAGAGGGAGGAGAGAGAAGAAGGGAG
rnacentral:lncRNA from 1 species